rnacentral:rRNA from 1 species
UACAGAGGGUGCAAGCGUUAAUCGGAUUUACUGGGCGUAAAGCGUGCGCAGGCGGCUUUGCAAGACAGAUGUGAAAUCCCCGGGCUUAACCUGGGAACUGCAUUUGUGACUGCAAGGCUAGAGUACGGCAGAGGGGGAUGGAAUUCCGCGUGUAGCAGUGAAAUGCGUAGAUAUGCGGAGGAACACCGAUGGCGAAGGCAAUCCCCUGGGCCUGCACUGACGCUCAUGCACGAAAGCGUGGGGAGCAAACAGG